rnacentral:lncRNA from 1 species
UUAACAGCAAUGAACUGCUGUCAAUUAACGGCAGAUGUUUGUGCAACAUGCAACUAAUUAAAAACUUAAAAUUAAGCCGAAUUAAAUCACAAGGAAAGCAGCACGGAAAGACAAACGCGCACUUUUCCAAGCUUGCUUGCGGUUGCGCUGGGGUGCUUGACAACCUGCCCCCCUCUCUGCAUCGCCUCGCUGCCGGCACCUCCCAGAGAUCUCCUUCGUUUGCGCCAUGUGGACUCCGACCGGCUCUCGGGUCCCGGCACCGCAGGCUCCUCACAUUAAACCAUGAUGCUUUUCUAUUGUUUCUCUGAGACUGUUUAAUGGCUUCAAAACUCAUAUCGGAUCUUGCAAGUCACUUUUUGUUGUUGUUGUUGUUUUUUCCAAAUCCUGC